rnacentral:rRNA from 1 species
UACGGAGGGUGCAAGCGUUGCUCGGAAUUACUGGGCGUAAAGCGUACGCAGGCGGCUCGUUAAGUUGGAUGUGAAAGCCCGGGGCUCAACCCCGGAAUUGCAUUCAAAACUGGCGGGCUUGAGUACGGGAGAGGGAAGCGGAAUUCCUGGUGUAGAGGUGAAAUUCGUAGAUAUCAGGAGGAACACCAGUGGCGAAAGCGGCUUCCUGGCCCGAUACUGACGCUCAUGUACGAAAGCGUGGGGAGCAAACAGG